rnacentral:rRNA from 1 species
AGCAGUAGCCGCGGGAAUACAGAGGGUGCAAGCGUUAAUCGGAAUUACUGGGCGUAAAGCGCGCGUAGGUGGUUUGUUAAGUUGGAUGUGAAAGCCCCGGGCUCAACCUGGGAACUGCAUCCAAAACUGGCAAGCUAGAGUACGGUAGAGGGUGGUGGAAUUUCCUGUGUAGCGGUGAAAUGCGUAGAUAUAGGAAGGAACACCAGUGGCGAAGGCGACCACCUGGACUGAUACUGACACUGAGGUGCGAAAGCGUGGGGAGCAAACAGGAUUAGAGACCCCAGUAGUCCCUGUCUCUUAUAC